rnacentral:rRNA from 1 species
AGAGUUUGAUCCUGGCUCAGGAUGAACGCUAGCUACAGGCUUAACACAUGCAAGUCGGAGGGGAAACGACAUCGAAAGCUUGUCUUUUGAUGGGCGUCGACCGGCGUACGGGUGAGUAACGCGUAUCCAACCUGCCCACCACUUGGGGAUAACCUUGCGAAAGUAAGACUAAUACCCAAUGAUAUCUCAAGAAGACAUCUGAAAGAGAUUAAAGAUUUAUCGGUGAUGGAUGGGGAUGCGUCUGAUUAGCUUGUUGGCGGGGUAACGGCCCACCAAGGCGACGAUCAGUAGGGGUUCUGAGAGGAAGGCCCCCCACAUUGGAACUGAGACACGGUCCAAACUCCUACGGGAGGCAGCA